rnacentral:rRNA from 1 species
GUGGGGAAUAUUGGACAAUGGGCGCAAGCCUGAUCCAGCCAUGCCGCGUGAGUGAUGAAUGCCUUAGGGUUGUAAAGCUCUUUCGUCAGGGAAGAUAAUGACGGUACCUGAAGAAGAAGCCCCGGCUAACUUCGUGCCAGCAGCCGCGGUAAUACGAAGGGGGCUAGCGUUGCUCGGAAUCACUGGGCGUAAAGCGCACGUAGGCGGCUUUCUAAGUCAGGGGUGAAAUCCUGGAGCUCAACUCCAGAACUGCCUUUGAUAGUGGAGAGCUUGAGUUCGGGAGAGGUGAGUGGAACUGCGAGUGUAGAGGUGAAAUUCGUAGAUAUUCGCAAGAACACCAGUGGCGAAGGCGGCUCACUGGCCCGAUACUGACGCUGAGGUGCGAAAGCGUGGGGAGCAAACAGGAUUAGAUACCCUAGUAGUCC